GCCCGGAUAGCUCAGUCGGUAGAGCAGGGGAUUGAAAAUCCCCGUGUCCUUGGUUCGAUUCCGAGUCCGGGCU
rnacentral:tRNA from 1 species